rnacentral:rRNA from 1 species
UACGAAGGGGGCUAGCGUUGUUCGGAUUUACUGGGCGUAAAGCGCACGUAGGCGGAUCGUUAAGUCGGGGGUGAAAUCCUGGAGCUCAACUCCAGAACUGCCUUUGAUACCGAGGAUCUUGAGUUCGGGAGAGGUGAGUGGAACUGCGAGUGUAGAGGUGAAAUUCGUAGAUAUUCGCAAGAACACCAGUGGCGAAGGCGGCUCACUGGCCCGAUACUGACGCUGAGGCACGAAAGCGUGGGGAGCAAACAGG